GGAGCACCUGACCAUGGAACAAUAGGAGACCAUAAGUCCAGAACUUGCCAUCAUGGUCUAAGUCUGUCAUCAUAUCCUUAGGUCAGAUUGGCCCAGCAGCAGCCUGACAUAAAAUGAGUGGGAUGAGAUGAACGACAUUUGGCCCAGAGGGCACAAGCAAGCUGCAUGAGCAGAUAAUUUAGAUCCUCAUGACUUCCCUUACAGGAGCCUGUAUGACCAGCAGAGGGAGGAAAAGGCCCAAGCUUGGUUUACAAAUGGGUCAGUGUUAUGGGCUGAAUAUUCAUGUUCCCCCAAAAAUCAUAUGUGAUAGAAUUCGGAGGAGGGGCCACUGGCAGGUGAUUCGAUUUAGGAGAGGUCGCGGGGUGGGGGGGGAGCCCCAUGAUGGGACUAGUACCCUUGAAAGAAGAAGAGGCUAAAACCUCUUCUCUCUGCCAUGUGAGGACAGGGAGAGAAGGCAAAUAUCCACAAGCAAGGAAGGUGUUCACCAGGAACUGAGUCUGCCAGCACCUGGAUCUUGGACUUCCAGCCUCCAAAACAGGGAGAAACAAAUGGCUGUUUUUUAAGCCACCCAGUCUAUGGCAUUGUGUUAUAGGAGCGGAGCAGACUGACAUAGCCAUCUUGGCAUGUGAAUCUAAACUGAGAAUGGAUGGCCAUGGCAGCUGCUCUGGAGCCUCCCUCAGGGGAAGCUUUGAAAGAAAAAAGGUGAAAAAAAUGCUUCCAAGAGUUUUCUCUUUAGCAGCCUAACUCCCCCCUCAGCCCAGCCUUGCUUCCCUUCCGUCUUUCUGUGGUGAGCGACACAGGAGCCUGUUCAAGGAGGAUGGGCUAUAGAGCGUGAGAGGGGCAGUCAGCUUACAGUCUCCAGCUCCUUCCAGGUCUGUUGUAGAAGUCGGAAGUCACUCCCCUCUCAGUGCAGCCUGCAUCCUGUGGCUGAGCAACAAGGUCACAGAGGCCCAGCCAUUUUGACCCCAUUCAAGGCACAUCUGAGGGACAAUACUGUUUCUUUCUGCCCAGUCCCGCCCCUCCCUUUCCUUUCACAGGUGUUGACCCCUAACAAAUAUCAUGUAACCUAAACUCUGUUUUAGCGCCUGCCUCCAGAGAACACAAACUGCAACAAAGAGGGAAAAUAUGUGAAUUGAAGUCACCCCAAAUCACAACCCCCAUUGUAAAUAGUGUGUCUCAGAGACGUGAUAGCUCUGUCAUAAGUAUAUGAAAUCAGCCAAAUAAACUGUAAACUGUUAAGUCACCCUUCUGUUUAUUCAAUGACAGUGUCAAAAUCUCAACUUUUUCAUCAGCAUAAAAUAUAAAAGCUUGCCAGUUCCAAAUCUAAGUGAUUUGUAGCCCCCAAACAUUUUAAGAAGGCUGCAUUGAUGCCAUUCAGACAUACUGACAUCCAAUAUUAUCUGUAUACCUCCAGGCUUCUUACCCUAGGUAUUAGUUACCUGUUAGUAUCAAAUUACUACAAACGUUGCAGCUUAAAAAAACACCCAUUUAUGAUCCCACAGUUUCUAUGUGUCAAGAUUCUGGACAUGGCAUAGUUGGAUCUUCUUUCUUAGGGUUUCCCACAGGCUGCAAACGAGAUGUUGUCCAGGGCUGGGGUCUCAUCUGAAGGCUCGCCUGAAGAAGCUCACUCAGUGGUUGUCAGUGAGAUUCAGUUCCCCAUGGGCUAUUGGACUGAGAUCUUCUGUUCUCUACUGGCUGUUGGCUGGAGGCCAACCUCAGUUCCUCACCCAAAGGGCCUUUCCAACAUGGUAACUGACUUCAUCAAAAUGAGCAAGCCAAGUAGGCAAUAGAGUCUGACAGCAAGACAAAGCCACAAUCUUUUUUAACCUAAUUAGGGAGUUGAUAUCUUCCUAAUGUUACUACAGUCUAACAGUAAGAAACAGGUUACUCUCUGGAAGAGGAUUACACCAGGCCAUGAAUACUAGGAGGCAGAACUCACAGGGCACCAUCCUGGAGGAUGUCCACCACGUCACACCAAUAUGAACAUGUUUAUAUUUGCAAAAGUGGGAUCAUAUCAUUUUACAAACUUCAACUUACUAAAAUGCAGUGUAACUUCUGUCUACAUAAAUGUCACCUAUUUCUGAUUGUUAAGGACUUCAUAGCAUUCCACCAAACAGCUGUCACGUGAUUUAUUCACAAAACCCUAUUUUCAGACAAUAGGUUGUUUUUGAUUUCUUCAUUUCUAUAAAUGAUGUUGCUAUGACCAUCCUUGUAACUAAACAUUUCCACACUUAUUUAUAUAUUUACCUAAGAAAAAAAUUUCUAGACAUGGGUGGAAUUGUUGGGUUGAAGACAUACUCUGUUUAAAUAUUUUAAUGUAUGUUUUUAACUGAAUUCUAUUUACUGGUCUUAGGUUCACAAAAGGCCUUCGUCCUCUCUGUAAAUCAUACUGCUGCUCCCAGGGCCAGCUGUGCAGAAGGAGUAAGACUCCUUCUGGUGGGUCUACACACUUCUAUUCUCACCAACCAUCAAGUUACCAUAUAGAACAGGUGUUCCAUAUAACAGGGCUUCUGUUCUAUCACUAAAUUGCCCUCCAGAGAAGUUUCCCCAAGUUACCCUCCUGUGAACAGAAUGUGAGACUGUCUCCAGGAGUUCGCAUGGUGGCUCAGCAGAAAAGAANGUAACCAUGAGGUUGCAGGUUCCAUCCCCAGCCUCGCCAGUGGGUUAAGGAUACAGCAUUGCUGUGAGCUGUGGUGUAGUUCGCAGAUGCGGCUCAGAUCCCGCAUUGCCGUGGUGGCUGUGGUGUAGGCCGGCAGCUGUAGCUCAGAUUCCCAGCUAGCCUGCGAACUUCCAUAUGCUUCAGGUGUGGCCCUAAAAAGCAAAAAAGUCAAACCAAACCAAACCAAAACAACACCAAAAAAGACUGUCGCCAUUUAUUUAAAAUCUAUUAAAUGAGAAGCUGCUCACCCAUCCUCAAUAAAGAACACUCAUUCUGAGUUCCUUUUCUAACAAUAAUAUGAGUUUCAUGGGGAUCCAGUUCUUUUUUUUUUUUUUUUUUAGGGCCGCACCCAAGGCAUAUGGAGGUUCCCAGGCUAGGGGUCUAAUCGGAGCUACAGCCGCCAGCCUACACCACAGCCACAGCAAUGCCAGACCCGAGCCACGUCUGCGACCUACACCACAACUCACGGCAGUGCCGGAUCCUCAAUCCACUGAGCGAGGCCAGGGAUGGAACCUGCAACCUCAUGGUUCCUAAUCGGAUUCGUUUCCGCUGCGCCACAAUGGGAACACCAGGAUCCAGUUCUUAGAUGCCCCUGGAGCCAGGCACAGAUCACAACAGAACUGGACUAGAUGUCAAACAACAAGGAGUGGUGGACGCUAUUGAGAGCUGAAAAGCCUUGGGCUCACUGAAGUGUUUAAACAUUUUUAAACACUUUAUCGGCCCAAGAAAAUAUUUCUGUGACUCAGAUUAAACUUGCGCUAUGAGUGUAUGUUCCAUGAUUUAUAUCUGAGAGACACUUGUUGAAAAAUAGUUAUUGCCUCUGAACAUGGGGUUGGGGGGGAGAAGCAUUCUCUAAGAAAAGCCAACUGCCUCAUACAGGUGACCCUAAAGUCUUCACUACAAACAAAUCAUAUAAAAUGGAAUAGCAGGAACCCCAAGAUGGACAAAGGGCACAAAAAUUAAUAAGCAUUCUCUCCUUGGGAAGAAAAAUUAGGUGUCAUAAAAAGCAUAAGUGAAUGAACAAAUGAUGACAGUUUCUCCAGGAGCCGUGUUGCCUUCCUCCUUACCUGCUGCAGAAGCAGAGUGCUCUCACUUUGAGAACCAGGAGUAAUGGGAGAUGCAUUUAUAAAUACACCCACACUUGCCAUGAAUCUCAGUAGCUUCACUCCACAUCCCUGCAGGACUGACUAUAAGAAUCCAUUAAGUUAAUGAGGGGUUGGGUGCAGCUGUAUCUGUGCAACAUGUGACAAGCCUCGCCCCAUAAUUGAAUCAGGGAUCUUUCAAAAAGACUCUGAGGGAAAAGCUCUGACUUCAGUUUCUCAAAAAUCAGAGCACUGGGCACAGGAUAGACACGUAAGGGGAAGAUGUUUUAUAGAGCCUUGUGGCAGGUGUGUGAGCUGUGAGGACUCAAAUGCUGUAUUAAUAUCACUCUCUUCCUCCUCCUUCAAGGAAGUGGAUUCGUUGUUUUAUAUCCCUUUCUUUGGAGAGGGGAAGGGACAUCAAGACAAAGGCUCUGAUUUUUGGUCUAAUUGUAUGUCAGGAUAUCUGGGAAAAGUAGGGACAUUUCAUAUUUUUAACUUUAUGAUGUAAACAGCUAGAAAUGCUCAUCUUACUGUGGUUGUUCCCAAAUAAGGGAUAAUAGAAGGUGUAGAUUUAUUAUUGAUUUUCACUGAUGGUGCAAGGUGUCAAUCUUUUAUAGAUUAUUUGAAGAACUGCUCAAUUGUUAAUUUCUUCACCAAAGUGAGAAGGGCAUUAAGAAAAGGACCCCUCUGCAGCGAUAACUUGGAUUAUCCAACCAGUUUUUGAUGGUCUAUGUCCAUAUCCCUUUGCUCUGUCUGCCUUGGAUACUGCUUUCCAGAGGCAAGACUAUGUCUAUUUUUCAUCUCGAUUCCAGUUACAUUGUGAUUGAAACUGGCUUCUAACACAGAUCAGUAAGCAAAAUGUAAGAUUCUUGUCCUUUUAGGCUAUUAUCAUCUCCCUGCCCUUUUCCUGUUCUCUCAAUUUCCCUUUUGAACCUCCCUGGUCCAGUAUUUACCUGGCACUGGCUCAACCCAGCAAUACCACUUCAUUUUGGGUGUCAUCCCCCGACCAUACACCCAUCUUGCACAGUGCCACCUGGUGGCUCCCCUCCACUAUUACAGCAUGACAACAAAAAGCAGCAGGGAAAAGCGUUAUCUAUCUAAUGAAUGGAAAUGAAAACAUCCAAGACUGACUGCAUAAAAGAAAUCAAAUGACUGAGAGAGAGGGGAAAAUGCCUCUUUUUUAUGGAACGGCCAUAAAUUCACAAGUUGUAUGAAUGCAGAGUAAGGAUUGAUUCUGAAGGGACUAGUUUACAAAUAUCAAAGUAUAUUAACUAUAUUCCCACCAACCUCUUCUUUGAAAAUACCUUUUAUAUUUGCAUUUUGUCAGUGCAUGAGGAUGACUUUUGAGUGGUUAACCACUCCCUAUGGAAGCACUUGCUUUACUGGCUUCUGAAAGCAAAACUGUCAAACAGUUUUCUAUUAUCUAGCAAAUUAUGAUGAAUCAUCAAUAUUAUUGAUACUUAAGAGUUUAUCCUUUCAAAUGGCUGCAGUGACCUUGGAACGAUAAUUCCUGCUUCAUACAAAACAUCUCCUUCUCACAGUGGUUAGCUGUGUACUGUCAUCCCAAUCUGGGCUGGUAUUUUGCCACAGGAAGGAAAAAAGAACAAAGUGGUAGUAAUUUUUUAGCAUUUAUCUUUUUUUCAGCUAUGCUCUGGAAAUAACAGAAAUGUUUAUGGGGUGUGAUUUUUAAAUUUCUCUACUUUUUAAAAUAGGUGCUGCCCCGUGAUGUCUGCUUCAACGUUAUUCGUGGUCAAUUCCACUCUAGAAACAGAGGAAAAGAAGUUCUUUUCCUGCCAGCUUCAUCUUUCCCAUUGAUUUCCUCACCGAACACAUGCCCCUAAUGGAGCUUGAAAUGAAUGCAGCUUUGCUUUUGUUUUCUGGCUUUGUUGGCACACCUCUGCCAGAGGCCAGCUGUGGUCUAAGCCUGAGGCACUCACCUUGCAGAAAGGGCCUCUGCCCCUCCCAGCUGCUGGCACACAGAAGGUGAAGAAGGGGAGGGGAAGAUUCUGUCCCCUUGGCUAGGCCUGGCACAAGAGAAGCGUGCCCUUUGAAAAAAGCUGAACUAUGGGUGGGGAGGUUUGUAAAACACCUAAGAGCCAGGAAGUUAGCAAUUCCAGGAGAUAGAAAAGGAGGAUCACAGGGCUGGGAAUGUUGGGGAGUCCUUACAAAAAGCCAGAGAAACUCACUUACACCUUAAAAACUACAAAAUAAGAAUAACAAAACGCAUCCCAAAUUACAAAACUCAGACCAAAUGGGGAUUACUCGCAGCAAGGAAAAGGGAUAAGGAAGGACAUUGUAAAGAAAGUCUUCUGGGAGUUCCUGUCGCGUGGCUCAGCAGUAACAAAUCCAACAAGUAUCCAUGAGGAUACAAUUUGGAUACCUGGCCUCACUCAGUGGGUUAAGGAUCCCAUGUUGGCCGGGAGCUGUGGUAUAGGUUGCAGAUGUGGCUCGGAUCCUGCACUGCUGCGGCUGUGGUGUAGGCUGGCGGCUGCAGCUCCAAUUGGACCCGCAGCCUGGAAACUGCCAUAUGCAGGAGUGGCCCUGAAAAUCAAAAAAAAAAAAAAGAAAAAA
rnacentral:lncRNA from 1 species